AUGGAUGCUGGCGGCGUGCCUUAGGCAUGCAAGUCAAGGGGGUUCCCGCAAGGGAACAACCGGCAGACGGGUGAGUAACGCGUAGGAAUCUGCCUCUAAGCGGAGCAUAGCCCCUCGAAAGAGGGGAUAAUUCUCCAUAAUAUGUCAACUCGACAGAGUUGCCAUUAAAGAUCGUAACUGGUCACCAAGAGAGGAGCCUGCGUCCUAUUAGCUAGUUGGUAGGGUAAUGGCCUACCAAGGCGACGAUGGAUAGCUGGACUGAGAGGUCGGUCAGCCACAAUGGCACUGAGAUACGGGCCAUACACCUACGGGUGGCAGCAACCGGGAAUAGUUCGCAAUGGACGAAAGUCUGACGACGCGACGCCGCGUGGAGGAUGACGGUUUUCGGAUCGUAAACUCCUUUUGCCAGUUCACAUGAACUGGAGAAUAAGUACCUACAAACUCCGUGCCAGCAGUAGCGGUAAUACGGGGGGUACAAGCAUUAUCCGGAAUCACUGGGCGUAAAGUAUGCGUAGGCGGUUUUCUAAGUCCUAAUUUAAAUACCAUGGCUCAACUAUGGGAAGGGUUGGGAUACUAGGAGACUUGAGGAUUGGUGGGGGUACUGGAACUUGUGGUGUAGCAGUGAAAUGCGUUGAUAUCACAAGGAACACCAAAGGCGAAGGCAAGUACCUGAACAAUUCCUGACGCUGAGGCAUGACAGCUAGGGGAGCGAAAAAGAUUAGAGACCUUUGUAGUCCUAGCCGUAAACGAUGUCUGCUAGAUCUCCCGAGUUUACUCGGGGGGUCGUAAGGUAACCCGUUAAGCAGACCGCCUGGGGAGUACGGCCGCAAGGCUAAAACUCAAAGGAAUUGACGGGGAGGCGCACAACCUGUGGAGCGUGUGGUUCAAUUCGAGACGAAGCGAAACACCUCACCAGGGCUUGAAAUGCUAUCGUUUAAGUCUGAUGAAAGUCGGACCCAUCCGCAAGGAUGAUAGUACAGGUGUUGCAUGGCCGUCGUCAGCUCUAGGCGUGAGCUGUAGGCUUAAGUGCCAUAUAGAGCGCAACUCUCGCCCAAUGUUAAAUUAAUCAUUGGGGACUGUCCCGACAUAUGUCGGGAAGGAAGGUGGGAAAGACGUCAGGACAGCACGACCCUUAUGCCCUGGGCCACACACACCCUACAAUGGCGAAUAACAACGAGUCGCAAGCCGGUAACGGCAAGCUAAUCUCUAAAAUUUCGCCUCAGUUGGGAUUGGGGUCUGAAACUCGACCCCAUGAACGCGGAAUAGGUAGUAAUCGCGGAUCAGCAGGCCGCGGUGAAUACGUUCUCGCCUCUUGUACACACCGCCCGUCAAGCGAGCAAAGUUGGGGGCGGCCCAAGUCGCCUUUUUGGCGGCAAAGCCGAACUCAGCGAUGAGCACU
rnacentral:rRNA from 1 species